GAUGAACGCUGGCGGCGUGCCUAAUACAUGCAAGUCGAGCGAACAGACGAGGAGCUUGCUCCUCUGACGUUAGCGGCGGACGGGUGAGUAACACGUGGAUAACCUACCUAUAAGACUGGGAUCACUUCGGGAAACCGGAGCUAAUACCGGAUAACAUGUUGAACCGCAUGGUUCAACAGUGAAAGACGGUCUUGCUGUCACUUAUAGCUGGAUCCGCGCCGCAUUAGCUAGUUGGUAAGGUAACGGCUUACCAAGGCAACGAUGCGUAGCCGACCUGAGAGGGUGAUCGGCCACACUGGAACUGAGACACGGUCCAGACUCCUACGGGAGGCAGCAGUAGGGAAUCUUCCGCAAUGGGCGAAAGCCUGACGGAGCAACGCCGCGUGAGUGAAGAAGGUCUUCGGAUCGUAAAACUCUGUUAUUAGGGAAGAACAAAUGUGUAAGUAACUAUGCACGUCUUGACGGUACCUAAUCGGAAAGCCACGGCUAACUACGU
rnacentral:rRNA from 1 species